UACGGAGGGUGCAAGCGUUAUCCGGAUUCACUGGGUUUAAAGGGUGUGUAGGCGGGUAUUUAAGUCAGUGGUGAAAUCUCCGGGCUCAACCCGGAAACUGCCAUUGAUACUAUCUGUCUUGAAUAUCGUGGAGGUAAGCGGAAUAUGUCAUGUAGCGGUGAAAUGCUUAGAUAUGACAUAGAACACCAAUUGCGAAGGCAGCUUACUACCCGAAUAUUGACACUGAGGCACGAAAGCGUGGGGGAGUCAAACAGGA
rnacentral:rRNA from 1 species